rnacentral:rRNA from 3 species
AGCUCGCGCCUGGGGUCCCGGCGGACGGGUGAGUAAUGCCUAGGAAUCUGCCUGGUAGUGGGGGACAACGUUUCGAAAGGAACGCUAAUACCGCAUACGUCCUACGGGAGAAAGCAGGGGACCUUCGGGCCUUGCGCUAUCAGAUGAGCCUAGGUCGGAUUAGCUAGUUGGUGAGGUAAUGGCUCACCAAGGCGACGAUCCGUAACUGGUCUGAGAGGAUGAUCAGUCACACUGGAACUGAGACACGGUCCAGACUCCUACGGGAGGCAGCAGUGGGGAAUAUUGGACAAUGGGCGAAAGCCUGAUCCAGCCAUGCCGCGUGUGUGAAGAAGGUCUUCGGAUUGUAAAGCACUUUAAGUUGGGAGGAAGGGUUGUAGAUUAAUACUCUGCAAUUUUGACGUUACCGACAGAAUAAGCACCGGCUAACUCUGUGCCAGCAGCCGCGGUAAUACAGAGGGUGCAAGCGUUAAUCGGAAUUACUGGGCGUAAAGCGCGCGUAGGUGGUUCGUUAAGUUGGAUGUGAAAUCCCCGGGCUCAAC